rnacentral:rRNA from 1 species
GACGAACGCUGGCGGCGUGCCUAAUACAUGCAAGUAGGACGCAGUUGCGAACGGGUGAGUACGCGUAGGUAACUACCUAUUAGAGGGGGAUAACGAUUGGAAACGAUAGCUAAUACCGCAUACUAGAAGAUGGACCUGCUUUGUAUUAGUUAGUAGGUAGGGUAAUGGCCUACCUAGGCAACGAUACAUAGCCGCCCUGCGUGGGUGAUCGGCCAAUCUGGGACUGGGCAACGGCCCAGACUCCUACUGGAGGCAGCAGUAGGGAAUCUUCGGCAAUGGGGGGAACCCUGACCGAGCAACGCCGCGUGAGUGAAGAAGGUUUUCAGAUCGUAAAGCUCUGUUGUUAAGGAAGCGGUACUUAACCAGAAAGGGACGGCUAACUACGUGCCAGCAGCCGCGGUAAUUC